rnacentral:tRNA from 1 species
GCGGGGGUUCCCUAGUUUGGCCAAUUCCGAUCAUGGCUAGAGGGGCCGGGCUUAGGACCCGGUGGUGUAGGCUGUUGAGCGGCACAAACCUGCGUGGGUUCAAAUCCCACCCCCCGCA